rnacentral:sRNA from 1 species
AUGGGUCUCCUCCCUGUGCCACAGGGCACCUGUGCUCCCUCCUGCACCCUCUGCUCUGCCCACCUGGCCACCACCCACUUGGCAUCCCUCUCCCCAGGCUCCAGCAGCUCCUGCGGUCUCCCAUUCUGCAGGUGCGGCCGGGAACUUCCUGUGCCCCGCUGGCGCCUUGUCCUUCAACGCCUUCAAGACCGUGAUGGACAUCGACACCAGCGGCACCUUCAACGUGUCUCGUGUGCUCUAUGAGAAGUUCUUCGACCAUGGAGGGGUGAUCGUGAACAUCACUGCCACCCUGGGGAACCGGGGGCAGGCGCUCCAGGUGCAUGCAGGCUCCGCCAAGGCCGCUGUGGGUAUGACCACCCCCCCCCGCCCAGGUUUGCCCACGUGGGUCCCCAGUGGGCCGUCUGCUUCCAUCCCAGGAGGCCAGCAGUCUCCACGUGAGGCUGAGCCCAGCUGCAGGCAGCGAGUCCUGGCCUUGGCCCCGCGCCCUCGCAGAGGGCAGAGCGGCCCCUUCAUAUCCAACUUUCUUCUGUGCAGACGCGAUGACGCGGCACUUGGCUGUGGAGUGGGGUCCCCAAAACAUCCGCGUCAACAGCCUCGCCCCCGGCCCCAUCAG